UGAGUAGGGAGGAGUGUGUGGAGGGAAAACAGGGUGGGUUGUCAGUGGAAGCCUGGAGGGCCACCCUCAUCAUGGGGCAGGUGGAAAAUGAGGAAGAAAUGGAUAGAACUGAACCUGAACUGAGGAAGAAAUGGAUGGAACCGAGGGAGAUACAUCUCCAGGGAAUUUUGUGACCGGUGCAUGAAGAUUUGCAGAGAGAUGAGGGACCACACCCAGGUUGCCACCUUGACCCUCCUCAUCCCCAGCGGUUGCCUGCUCGCAGGGGCUCGGCCCGAGGAGUGAUUUAUGUGUGCAUAACUCGAGCAGCGGAAUGUCAUCCAGGAGGUUUUUAAUUGGCAGACUUCAGGGACCACAGAGGGAGAUGACAGAGGGAGCUCUGGAGAGAGGAGAGUGUCGGCUGCCAUUCCCAGCUCAGCCUCACGGAGGAGGCCUAAUAAAUCUCCAGGGGGAGCCGGUCAACUUUUAAACUUUUUUAUUAACCCGAUCUCUGCUAAUGAAAUACAAAGAGGAGGAGGCGAUGAUCUUCAACUUCAGAAGGUUGGGUCUUGUGAUGCGGCAAAUGACUGCGGGGGAUUCCUGAGACGCAACCCAACUCGAGUCUUCUGGCAAUUUCCAUUCCGAGAUGGAAAUUGUCUUUGUGACUUCCAUGAGUCCCUUGGUUCCGUCUUGCCACAUAGGAUCUGACCCUGUAUUCUUAGGGAUGUCAGAAAAAAAAAAAAAACAGUGUUUUCUUUUGGGAACAUCUUCUAAGCCCUUGGAUAAAGGUGUUGUUUUAAGAUGGAAUUGUUGCUGCUUUGGGUACCCUGAUGGCUUUCAGAGAAGAGUCUUUAUCUACUCAGGGUAGUUCUAACUUUCAGGGUAGGACGUGUGCAGGAAAGAAAAGGGAUUUCUUUGGCAGCAGGGUCCCAGAUCUGUGUCAUUUUAGGAAUGCUGUGGUCUUUCUAAAAUCAUGAUUGAUGACUUUGGAAACAUCUGUGUUUACACUGCCUCAGAGAUGGUGUGGGCUUUUCCAGGCCUUAAACACCAGCACCUGUGAUAGAGCAGUUCCCAAACUCUGAGCCAAAUUCUUUCUUGGGCCACUGGGCUUUUGAAAGACAAAUGACAACUUAUAUGUUUGCAUUUAUUUUCCAAGUCAUAACUAUCCUAAAAAUACAAUGUCCUUAAGUUAGGUUCCCCAGGAUCAGAUGCUGUUACAGAAAUGGAGAGCAGGUUGUUUCUUGGAGUGGUGAUCUCACUCCAAGAAACAACCUGCUCUCCGUGGUGGAGGGAGGAAUGAUAGUUAAUUUUAUUUGUGUCACCUUGCCUGGGCUACGGUCCCCAGAUAUUUGGUCCAAAUCAUUCUGGAUGUUUCCUUGAGUUUGCCUGUUGCCUGUUUUGGGAUAAGAUCAACAUUUAGAUUGAUGAGCUUUGAGUGAAGCAGAUUACCCUCACUAAUGUAGGUGGGCUUUGUCCAAUCAGUUGAAGGCUUGAAAGUACAAGGCAUGGACCUCUCCCAAGCAAGGGGUAAUUCUGCCAGCAGACAGCCUCUACCCUUUGACUGUAACAGUAUGGUACAUAGGAGGUGGCCCUCAAAACUCAUGUGUCAGACAUGAAUAUUCUGAGGUGAAACAAUUAGAUCAUGAGAGCUGAACCCAUUAGUGGCCAAGCCACUGAAAUGGAUUAACUGAUUGGUAAUCAUUGAUGGUAGGUCACUGGGUAUGCCUUUGGGUUUGAUUUUGUCCCUGCUAAGCAGAGUUUACUUUGUCUCGGCCUCCUGGUUGCCUUGUCUUGUGCAGUUUCACUCUGCCAUGCUCUUCAACUGCCUCACCUCAGGCCUAGAGCUGUGGAGCCAGCCAACCAUAAACUGUGAGCCAAAUUAAACUUAUCCUCCUCUCUGUGGCUCUUUCUGGGCCUUUUGGUCACUGUGAUGCAAAAGCUAACUACAACACAGUGACUCUUCGCCAGGUCUCCAGGCCUGCAGGUGCACCCUGUGAAGUUUGGACUUGCCAGCCUCCGUAAUCAAGUGGACCCGUUCCUUCAGAAAACAUUUUUUUUUCUAUAUAUAGGUACAGCCUAUUUGUUCUGUUUCUCUGGAGAACUCUGGCUCAUCCAGGCAGUCUUUUGGACCCUGUCCCAUCUGGUCUGGGAAGGGAAGAGAAAGAAGCUGAUAUAGGUUUCUGUGGAGUGGCUGGGGACUUAGGGAGAGAGAAAAAUCCAGAUUGAAUCAU